AUUGAACGCUGGCGGCAUGCCUUACACAUGCAAGUCGAACGGUAACGCGGGGCAACCUGGCGACGAGUGGCGAACGGGUGAGUAAAGCAUCGGAACGUGCCCAGUAGUGGGGGAUAGCCCGGCGAAAGCCGGAUUAAUACCGCAUACGACCUAUGGGUGAAAGGGGGGGAUCGCAAGACCUCUCGCUAUUGGAGCGGCCGAUGUCAGAUUAGGUAGUUGGUGGGGUAAAGGCCUACCAAGCCGACGAUCUGUAGCUGGUCUGAGAGGACGACCAGCCACACUGGGACGGAGACACGGCCCAGACUCCGACGGGAGGCAGCAGUGGGGAAUUUUGGACAAUGGGCGCAAGCCUGAUCCAGCCAUGCCGCGUGCGGGAAGAAGGCCUUCGGGUUGUAAACCGCUUUUGUCAGGGAAGAAAUCCUUUGGGUUAAUACCUCGGGGGGAUGACGGUACCUGAAGAAUAAGCACCGGCUAACUACGUGCCAGCCGCCGCAGUAA
rnacentral:rRNA from 1 species